GCAAUCAGAACUCUUACUGUAACUCUUUCACUCCAGAAGAUGGCAGCAGUGCAACCUCCGGAUGCAGUGCUCCAAACAGAAGAAGAGAUUGAACAGUUCCCAAGCCGUUUCCAUAACAACCAGGCGGAUUCAAUCAUGGCGCCCGGGAGCCAAGCAGUCCUCUCUUCAACACCUUUGCAGGUUCUUCUCUACCUGAACAGCUGGUACUUUUCUGCCUUCUACUUGGCAGAGAUCCUCAUGUUCAUCUACAAAGGAAUUUUACUGCCGUACCCAGCAGACAAUCUGGUCCUGGAUGUGGUGCUGCUGCUGCUCUUCCUCGCUCUGGAGACUCUUCGCAUUUUCUAUGGUUGGAAGGGGAACCUCUGCGAGCGCUCUCUGUCUUCCUGUGUGUCCCUCUUCAUCCUAUUUCCCUGCACAGCGCUGGCCGUUUACUACCUGCUGCUGCAGACGUUCGUGCUGCGGCUCGAGUUCAUUCUCAGCGCCGUGCUGCUCUGCUUCUAUGGCCUCGAGUUCCUGCUCUGCGUUAUCUCCAUCUCCGCUUUCUCCAGGUCCAGAGUUUACUGAUGUCGCCUGGAACACAACAGGAUGUGUCAGCAGCUUUCUUCAGACAGAACACACUGCAACUUCCUCCAGGAGGAAAUUUUAUAUGUUAAUUCAAAGUCCAACCACCUAGUGUCGGUAGCCAUGUGUUUAUCUACUGAGGGCCACCGUGGGGAGGCGGUACCCAUCUCCUGCAAUUAUUGCGCAAGAGGUGGUCUACGCAAUACACAAGAAGAACGUGAAAACACCACAGAGCCAGAAAAAGAGUCCAGUUUAUUUUUUCUUUUUUUGUCAGUGGUAGUGCAAAUUUAAGUAAUUGGCUUUAUCAGUCAUCGUGACUCACUGAAAUCUAAUCUUACAUUUCAUAACUAAUUAAACAUUAAGAUGAUGAACAUUGCUUUAUGGCCCAUUUAUAUCAUCUGUAAUCAACUAAGUUUUUGUAACGUAACUCUUGCUAGUCAGCACAACUGCUGUGGAUGUUUGACAGAAACAUCUUCCUCACUGUCAUAUGACUUUGGAAAUGCAAACGACUCAGUUCCGCUGAAACCCCAGAAAAUUGAAGUUUCGAUCAUCAUAAAAAGCCGUUUACAAACUUCCCAUUCAUCAGUGCUUUUUUGUAGUUACCAUUCCUACUCCGUGAACAAGUGUAUAGACAAAAGGCAGCUGUUGAUAUUUUGAUGAAGUGUGUAAGUUUUAGUUGUUAGCGAUGUUUUUUUUUUUUU